rnacentral:rRNA from 1 species
UACGUAGGGUGCGAGCGUUGUCCGGAAUUAUUGGGCGUAAAGAGCUUGUAGGCGGUUUGUCGCGUCUGCUGUGAAAAUCCGGGGCUCAACCCCGGACUUGCAGUGGGUACGGGCAGACUAGAGUGUGGUAGGGGAGACUGGAAUUCCUGGUGUAGCGGUGAAAUGCGCAGAUAUCAGGAGGAACACCGGUGGCGAAGGCGGGUCUCUGGGCCGAUGACUGACGCUGAGGAGCGAAAGCAUGGGUAGCGAACAGG